AUAAUCUGCAGAAAUAAGCGGAAACAUGCCAACCAUGAUGAAUCUACUGCUUUUUGUAUGGCAAUGGAACAUGUUAUUCUUGUAAAUGGUCUGGAAUGCAAGAUGGCUUCAAACUCAUCGAAGAUCUCUUAUGUGCUUGAUACUGAGGACUUCUUUUUCCGUCGGGGAAGGAAACUAAAAAAAGUUUCAGCUGGCAGAUUGUCAUGUCAUUACCAGGCUAGAGUAGAACGGUUCCAUCGUGUUCUGUUGUCCUCUUCAUGAUGAUACAUGGCCUCUCUCUCUGAAACUGUCAAUGCAUUACCUUUCUUGGCAAACCAGAACGUUGAACAAGUUCUAGACGGUCUAUUUAUAGAAAUUCACAUUACAGGAUUUAAUCACUUCAACGGACUCCUCUCUUGCUGACUCCAACAGGGUUUUACACUCAAGUAUUUCAUUGGAUUGUCGGACCAACUAUUUACUUGGUCAAUUGGUUCAAUGCUUUGAUGGUGGUAUUCUCUUGAACCUUCACUCUUGAGGAACAAGGAUUCGCGGGUGUGGUUUCUCGUUAGUGUAUUAUCUUGUGGCACAUGUAAAUGGCAUUUCAGUCAUUUUCUUGUACAUAUGGUUUUCCGCCAUAAGUUGUUUCUUGUAAGCUGUGUUUAUUUAAUCUGGUUGCGUGGGAUCGCAAAGGAGCCAUAUUGCAUUUCCUCCUCUGCAGUAGUCUCCGUGUCCCCGUGAGCUGAUCAAGCUUUCCAGCAGCUACAGCUUCCUGGAUUAUGUAAGAGAUAGUGAUAACUUAGUUGAAUUUAGUAUAGUGAAAAGCUUUAUACAGUGGUUUUCUUGGCCCUUGUUUUGUACAGAGCAUACAUUUGGAUUCUACUUUUUGCUUAAACAAGAGGUUUAUUGCCUUAUUGACAAGGCUUUUUUCAUUCAAAAUAUUAUUGGUUCUUUA